UACGGGAGGAAGCAGUGGGGAAUUUUGGACAAACGGGGGAAACCAGGUCCAGCCAUGCCGCGUGCGGGAAGAAGGCCUUCGGGUUGUAAAGUGCUUUUGGACGGAAAGAAAAGGCGCACCCUAAUACGGGGCGUUCUUGACGGUACCGGCAGAAUAAGCACCGGCUAACUACGUGCCAGCAGCCGCGGUAAUACGUAGGG
rnacentral:rRNA from 1 species